UACGGGGGGGGCAAGCGUUGUUCGGAAUUAUUGGGCGUAAAGGGCGCGUAGGCGGUUAGAUAAGUCAGCUGUGAAAACCCGCGGCUUAACUGUGGGCUUGCAGCUGAUACGGGCGGGCUAGAGUUCGGUAGGGGAGACUGGAAUUCCUGGUGUAGCGGUGAAAUGCGCAGAUAUCAGGAGGAACACCGGUGGCGAAGGCGGGUCUCUGGGCCGAUACUGACGCUGAGGAGCGAAAGCGUGGGGAGCGAACAGG
rnacentral:rRNA from 1 species